rnacentral:rRNA from 1 species
ACGUUCAACCGCAAAAGAAGCAGAGGGGGCUUAGUGGUGGGGUGACUGCGUACCUUUUGUAUAAUGGGUCAGCGACUUAUAUUCUGUAGCAAGGUUAACCGAAUAGGGGAGCCGGAGGGAAACCGAGUCUUAACCGGGCGUUAAGUUGCAGGGUAUAGACCCGAAACCCGGUGAUCUAGCCAUGGGCAGGUUGAAGGUUGGGUAACACUAACUGGAGGACCGAACCGACUAAUGUUGAAAAAUUAGCGGAUGACCUGUGGCUGGGGGUGAAAGGCCAAUCAAACCGGGAGAUAGCUGGUUCUCCCCGAAAGCUAUUUAGGUAGCGCCUCGUGAAUUCAUCUCCGGGGGUAGAGCACUGUUUCGGCUAGGGGGCCAUCCCGGCUUACCAACCCGAUGCAAACUGCGAAUACCGGAGAAUGUUAUCACGGGAGACACACGGCGGGUGCUAACGUCCGUCGUGAAGAGGGAAACAACCCAGACCGCCAGCUAAGGUCCCAAAGUCAUGGUUAAGUGGGAAACGAUGUGGGAAGGCCCAGACAGCCAGGAUGUUGGCUUAGAAGCAGCCAUCAUUUAAAGAAAGCGUAAUAGCUCACUGGUCGAGUCGGCCUGCGCGGAAGAUGUAACGGGGCUAAACCAUGCACCGAAGCUGCGGCAGCGAACGUAUCACUUAAAGCGAUUCAGCGGGUUACGAUUGACGGAGCGAAGCGACGUCAAAGCGUAUA